rnacentral:rRNA from 1 species
UACGUAGGGUGCGAGCGUUAAUCGGAAUUACUGGGCGUAAAGCGUGCGCAGGCGGUUUUGUAAGACAGCUGUGAAAUCCCCGGGCUCAACCUGGGAACUGCGGUUGUGACUGCAAGACUGGAGUACGGCAGAGGGGGGUGGAAUUCCACGUGUAGCAGUGAAAUGCGUAGAGAUGUGGAGGAACACCGAUGGCGAAGGCAGCCCCCUGGGCUAGUACUGACGCUCAUGCACGAAAGCGUGGGGAGCAAACAGG